rnacentral:pre_miRNA from 9 species
UCUCGAUAGCGUAAAAGUUAGCCCAAAUUUGUAUGCACUUGGAACGUUUGCCUACCUUUGCCGCUAGGGGCGCUGUUCCAACUGCAUACAAAUGUGAGUUAGCUUUUACGCUAUCGA